UACGGAGGGUGCGAGCGUUGUCCGGAAUCACUGGGCGUAAAGGGCGCGUAGGCGGCCUGAUAAGUAGGGGGUGAAAUCCUGCGGCUUAACCGCAGGGCUGCCUUCUAAACUGUCAGGCUAGAGCACGGUAGAGGCAGAUGGAAUUCCCGGUGUAGCGGUGGAAUGCGUAGAGAUCGGGAAGAACAUCAGUGGCGAAGGCGGUCUGCUGGGCCGUUGCUGACGCUGAGGCGCGACAGCGCGGGGAGCAAACAGG
rnacentral:rRNA from 1 species